CGGGCCGGUGCCGAGGCGGGUGGCGGCGCUGCUGGAGCCGGCCCCGGCCGUACGGAGGUGGCCGUCGGUGUUCAGUACGGCCGGCCUGGCC
rnacentral:tRNA from 1 species